ACGGAGGAUGCAAGCGUUAUCCGGAUUUAUUGGGUUUAAAGGGUGCGCAGGCGGAAUGAUAAGUCAGUGGUGAAAGCUUUCGGCUUAACCGGAAAAUUGCCUUGAUACUAUUGUUCUUGAGUACAGUUGAGGUAGGCGGAAUGUGUCAUGUAGCGGUGAAAAGAUUGAAUCUGACGCAGAAGCCCGAUAGCGAAGGCAGCAUACCAAAUUGAAACUGACGCUCAUUAAUGAAAGCGACGGGUUCAAACAG
rnacentral:rRNA from 1 species